UACGUAGGGUGCGAGCGUUGUCCGGAAUUACUGGGCGUAAAGAGCUCGUAGGUGGUUUGUCGCGUUGUCCGUGAAAACUCACAACUCAAUUGUGGGCGUGCGGGCGAUACGGGCAGACUGGAGUACUGCAGGGGAGACUGGAAUUCCUGGUGGAGCGGUGAAAUGCGUAGAGAUCGGGUGGAACACCAGCGGCGAAGGCGGCAUCCUGGCCCUGACCUGACGCUGAGGCGCGAGAGCGUGGGGAGCAAACCGG
rnacentral:rRNA from 1 species